UACGGUAGGCAGCAGUGGGGAAUAUUGCACAAUGGGCGAAAGCCUGAUGCAGCUAUGCCGCGUGUAUGAAGAAGGCCUUAGGGUUGUAAAGUACUUUCAUCGGGGAGGAAAAAACAAAACUAAUAAUUUUAUUUCUUGACGUUACCCGAAAAAGAAGCACCGGCUAACUCCGUGCCAGCAGCCGCGGUAAUACGGAGGGUGCUAGCGUUAAUCAGAAUUACUGGGCGUAAAGAGCACGUAGGUGGUUUUUUUAAGUCAGAUGUGAAAUCCCUGGGCUUAACCUAGGAACUGCAUUUUGAAACUGAAAUACUAGAGUAUCGUAGAGGGAGGUAGAAUUCUAGGUGUAGCGGUGAAAUGCGUAGAUAUCUGGAGGAAUACCUGUGGCGAAAGCGGCCUCCUAAACGAAUACUGACACUGAGGUGCGAAAGCGUGGGGAGCAAACAGGGAUUAGAUACC
rnacentral:rRNA from 1 species